AGUAAUACAUCGGAACGUAUCCAGUUGUGGGGGAUAGCCCGGCGAAAGCCGGAUUAAUACCGCAUACGACCUGUGGGUGAAAGCGGGGGAUCGCAAGACCUCGCGCUAUUGGAGCGGCCGAUGUCAGAUUAGCUAGUUGGUAGGGUAAAAGCCUACCAAGGCGACGAUCUGUAGCUGGUCUGAGAGGACGACCAGCCACACUGGGACUGAGACACGGCCCAG
rnacentral:rRNA from 1 species